rnacentral:rRNA from 1 species
CUCAGGAUGAACGCUAGCUACAGGCUUAACACAUGCAAGUCGAGGGGCAGCAUUGGAGUAGCAAUACUCAGAUGGCGACCGGCGCACGGGUGAGUAACACGUAUCCAACCUGCCGCUUAACUCGGGGAUAGCCUUUCGAAAGAAAGAUUAAUACCCGAUGGUAUAAAGAGUUCGCAUGUUCUCUUUAUUAAAGAAUUUCGGUAAGCGAUGGGGAUGCGUUCCAUUAGAUAGUUGGCGGGGUAACGGCCCACCAAGUCUACGAUGGAUAGGGGGUUCUGAGAGGAAGGUCCCCCACAUUGGAACUGAGACACGGUCCAAACUCCUACGGGAGGCAGCAGUGAGGAAUAUUGGUCAAUGGACGAGAGUCUGAACCAGCCAAAAGUAGCGUGAAGGAUGACUGCCCUAUGGGUUGUAAACUUCUUUUAUAAGGGAAUAAAGUGAGGGACGUGUCCCUUUUUGUAUGUACCUUAUGAAUAAGGAUCGGCUAACUCCGUGCCAGCCGCCGC